ensembl:lncRNA
GGGUGAGCCAUCCACAGAAUGGGACGUUGAACCUGGAGACCCCAGUUCAAAGGCUUUCUACUAGCAGGUUAAUUAGUUGCCACAAGGCAACUUUCCUCAACCACAACCACAACAUCAACUAAGUAGUUUAGUAGUUUAGUCAGAUUUUUCCCCCGGACAGCAUCUUACAACAUCACAAGAGCUCCAACCACAGAUGGCCUUUUCCCAUUAUCGUGGUGGUAAGUGGACCUAACAGGGCUGAACAGAAGCAGCCACAGCGUUGAUGUGAAGCGCACCAUAGGACUCUUUAAGUAGUGUGUAACUGUUAGAGAAUGCCCCCUGGCCAAGGGAGGAGCAUCGCCGUCCGUCUGCCUCCCACGUGCACCGACUUAUACAAGUUUUGUGUAACUGUGAGGUAACACCUGCUCUUCUGACUGACGAAUCAGGCUCAACCGAAGGGCCUGUUCUCUGGCACAGCAUUCCCUCCCAGCCGACGACUGACUGAUUGUUGUGCUGUCUGUCCCACUUACAGUGCUGUCAAAAAUAAAUACCAACAACCGGGGCCUCAAAGGUAUCAUAGCGCUGAGCUUUCAUACGGUGCUUUAAAUACCUCCACAGAGAGACAUCAGGUGCAGACCUGAGAUCAGGUACAUGGCUGGACUGUAUCACGCUACGCAGUUGAGUUUGGUUUGAGUCCAUUCAUUGAGGACGGCUUCAAUCAAGAAUUCAACAAUAUUAUAAUGCUAUUUUAACAUGCGUCGUUCUAGAUUUCUCUUCUUCAAUCACAUGCAAACGCACAGAGGUCAUGCAGUGAGAAGAACAUUGAUUUCUGGGUCCCAGACUUAAAACUUUACUGUGCGUUUGCUACCAAACUUAACUGUUCAUUUCUUCACUCAUAGCCAAUCCUGUCUCUCUCAAACGCACCUAUUAUUUGCGUCAACACCCUCCAGGUAUUGGAUUGAAUCACAUAAAGAGGAAAACUGG